UUGGUGGACCUUGGGCUUGGGGGUGGAGGAAGAAAAAAAAGAUACAGGUAUGCUGAAAUCUGCCCUUCCCUUGUGGCCGGACUGACGUGAAGAACAAGUUUUCAUUCCCCUUCCUUUCCAUGUACAAACCAGCUGGGCUGGCAGUUGAAUCUUUACUGGUGGUCGGAUAAUCAUUCCCAGCACAGCUAGAAGAAACAGACUCACUAACAGGGCACGAAGGAAACUGCAAGCGUGAAUGCAUCUCUGUUCAUGUUGGCCAAGCUGGAGUGCAGAUUGGCAAUGCUUGUUGGGAACUCUUCUGCCUGGAGCAUGGAAUCCAGCCAGAUGGCACCUUCAAGGAAAAUACCAUCAGCAAUUGUGACGACUCCUUUGCAACAUUCUUCAGAGAGACAGGCACUGGGAAACAUGUGCCACGGGCUGUCAUGGUGGAUUUGGAGCAAACUGUAGUUGAGCUUUUGCAGAAGCUCUAGAAUAUUCCAAAGAGGUUCCGGGCAGGUGCGGAUCACCCACAGAGGUCCACUCGAAGAACUAC